rnacentral:rRNA from 1 species
CACGUAGGGGGCGAGCGUUGUCCGGAUUUAUUGGGCGUAAAGAGCUCGUAGGCGGUCUGUCGCGUCUGGUGUGAAAUCCCAUGGCUCAACUGUGGGCUUGCAUCGGGUACGGGCAGACUAGAGUGCUGUAGGGGAGACUGGAAUUCCUGGUGUAGCGGUGGAAUGCGCAGAUAUCAGGAGGAACACCGAUGGCGAAGGCAGGUCUCUGGGCAGUUACUGACGCUGAGGAGCGAAGCAUGGGGAGCGAACAGG